GGGUGCGAUCAUACCAGCGUUAAUGCACUGGAUCCCAUCAGAACUCCGCAGUUAAGUGCACUUGGGCUAGAGUAGUGCUGGGAUGGGUGACCUACCGCGAAGUCCUAGUGUUGCACCCU
rnacentral:rRNA from 1 species